rnacentral:lncRNA from 10 species
CUACAGCAGGGAGAAAAGGAUCUUUGCUGAUGUUGAACAUCAACAGGGAAUCCAGGCCUGAGCGGAUUCACGCAUGACGUCUCCCUGGACACAGGGAUGGGUUCACAAAGGGGUUGGAGUCACUGAGAUGUGAGGAGAAGUCUGCUGGCAGCUUCUGGGACAUUACACCCUGGUGCUGAAGAGAUCGCUGCCGGAAGAGGCUGUCUUCCUGGGCAUGUUGUCAGCCGGGGGCGGGCCGACCCAGCACGCAGGAGGCUUGCACCGCAAAGCCUUCUCGCUGAACCAGGCAGCAGAUCCAUCCCACGGGGCUUCCUCCCACGUGAGAAACGUAGGAAAAGACGCUGCAAAUCAAAGACGACCACCCUGGAGAAGCAGGAGAAACUCCCCAACUUGAGUGAAUGUAUCAACAUUUCAGAAAAUGUAGGAGGUGGAUGUUACUGUUUAAUCUGCUCAGCAUCCUUCCCCCACCCCUUUUGAUAACUGGCCUCAUCCACUGGACACACUUCUUGGAAUGAGACCCGGGCUAGGCCAAUCAGCCUCUCCCUGAAGUGUUUCCCUGAAGCUGGAAGAGAGGAACUCUGUUCCCUCUUGGAUUACAGAGCUGAAAGGAGAUGAAUUUGAUGCUACUAGUGUUCAUGUUUCUAACCAAGGGAGAUGGGGCCUAGCAAGCCUUAAUGGUCUUCAUAUAUUUUCCAUCAGACCUUUUAAGCUUCCCCCAUGGUGACCAGCCCCAGAGUAAUGCACAUUUAAUUCAACUUUCAAUGCAGGAAAAUCAAUUGCAUUGCACCACAGACUGUUUAUUACACGUAAUCUGAAGUUCAACACAUAAAGAAAUAAGCAAUAUACACAAACCAUGGCACUUAAGAGUUCAAUUUGGGGACCUAUUUCCCCCCAGAAAUCAAAAUACUUAUAUUGUCCUAAAAUAUUUCACAUUAUAAAAUAAAGUUUUUCUGUUUUUUUUUGUUUUUUAAUCCAGGCUGGAAUUGCUUGAAACUUUUUUUUUCCUUUGACUUUUAUUUUAAGUUCAGGGGUACAUGUGCAGGAUGUGCAAGUUUGUUACAUAGGUAAAUGUGUGCCAUGGGAAACUUUUAAAAUAAUAAUUAUGAUGGCUUUUAUUUUAACAAUGCUUUAUAGUUCACAAAUUGUUUUCAGAUAUCUUACCCUAUUUUGAUCUUCCUCCUCAAAUGCUUGUGAAUUAGAUAGGACAAGUAAACCCAUUUAGCAGAUGAAGAAACUGAGCGAUGAGAAGAGCCCAACUACAAGAAUGAGGAGCGCCUAACACCCACCCAGUCUAGGAUGUUAUUAAUCCCAAAAGAACUUCAUUCUAUUUGGAGCUCGUGGGGGUGGAGAGAUGGAAGCAGGAAGAACCUAAAUUGUGUCUACCACUGGAAUUCAGAUUUGUCUUGACUUGAUAAGGUAGGCUCACCAGAAGGCUUUAUGUUUUCUGCUAGUUUGUUUUGUAGGUUUUUAGAGAUCUCUCAGGUGGAGAGGGUUGAAUUCAUCAUACCCCUCAAUUCAUGGUACGUUAUCAUCACCAAGGAACUGCUCUUGUUUUAUUCAAUUACGUACUUUCCUUUUAUACACCAUCCAUAUUCCUUUUUUUUUUUUUUUUUUGACAAGGUUUCACUCUGUUGCCCAGACUGGAGUGCAGUGGCACAAUCAUAGCUCAUUAUAGCCUUGACUUCCUGGGCUCGAUAGAUCUGCCUGCCUCAGCCUCCUGAGUAGCUGGGACUACAGGUAUGUGCCACCACACCCAGCUAAUUUUUUUGUAUUUUUUGUAGAGAUGGGCUUUCACCAUGUUGCCCAGGCUAGUCUUGAAUUCCUGGGCUCAAACGAUCUGCCCAUCUAGGCUUCCUAAAGUGUUGGGAUUACAGGUGUGAGCCACGGAACCCAGCCCAUGCUCCGUUUAUAUAGAGUUCAAAAUAGGCAAGGCUAUUCUCUAGUUUCCAGGGUGGGGGUGCAGAUAAUACUUUAGUUUUUUUUUUUUAAUCUGGAUCAUGUUUAUAUAGAGUUAUUCAUUUUGCAAAAAUCUAUUGUGCUGUGUACUUAAUAAUUGGUGUAGCUUUCUG